rnacentral:rRNA from 1 species
CUACGGGCUGCUCCAGUGAGGAAUAUUGCACAAUGGGGGGAACCCUGAUGCAGCAACGCCGCGUGGAGGAUGACGCAUUUCGGUGUGUAAACUCCUUUUAUAUGUCAAGAAAAUGACGGUAGCAUAUGAAUAAGCACCGGCUAACUCCGUGCCAGCGGCCGCGGUAGUACGGAGGGUGCAAGCGUUACUCGGAAUCACUGGGCGUAAAGGACGCGUAGGCGGGUUGGAAAGUCAGGUGUGAAAUCCUACAGCUUAACUGUAGAACUGCACUUGAAACUUCUAAUCUAGAGUAUGGGAGGGGGAGAUGGAAUUAGUGGUGUAGGGGUAAAAUCCGUAGAUAUCACUAGGAAUACCUAAAGCGAAGGCGAUCUCCUGGAACAUUACUGACGCUAGGGCGUGAAAGCGUGGGGAGCAAACAGGAUUAGAUACCCCUGUAGUC